rnacentral:misc_RNA from 1 species
AAGUCGUAACAAGGUUUCCGUAGGUACGUAGCCAGAGGUCUCUGAAUCACUACAACUUUCCGGGCUAUGAUUUAUUGGAGAUUGCGAACUACGCGGGUUACAAGAGCAGGAUGAAGGUUCACGGGGGGGGUUUUAACGUUUGGAUACGUGUUAAUGAUCCUUCCGCAGGUUCACUGCGAACAUUGGAACAGUUACAAUCGAGCGGUAGUUCUAUAGGCAAUGUUUCCCCAAGCAGUCAGUGUCGGAAAGUGUCAUUGAUUGUGCAAGGAUAGCGCUUCUACGAUUCCUGUAGACCGUACACUCGGGCAGGAGCUUUGCCAAAGGGUCCCCAUGCCCCCUAAUAACCCCACAGUUUAAUGUGAAGCUCAAUGUAAUACAUUGGGUAAAAAAACCGAACAACUGUUAACAAUGGAUAUCUUGGUUCUC